GAUGAACGCUGGCGGCGUGCCUAAUACAUGCAAGUCGAGCGAACAGACGAGGAGCUUGCUCCUCUGACGUUAGCGGCGGACGGGUGAGUAACACGUGGAUAACCUACCUAUAAGACUGGGAUAACUUCGGGAAACCGGAGCUAAUACCGGAUAAUAUAUUGAACCGCAUGGUUCAAUAGUGAAAGACGGUUUUGCUGUCACUUAUAGAUGGAUCCGCGCCGCAUUAGCUAGUUGGUAAGGUAACGGCUUACCAAGGCAACGAUGCGUAGCCGACCUGAGAGGGUGAUCGGCCACACGGGAACUGAGACACGGUCCAGACGCCUACGGGAGGCAGCAGUAGGGAAUCGUCCGCAAUGGGCGAAAGCCUGACGGAGCAACGCCGCGUGAGUGAUGAAGGGCUUCGGAUCGUAAAACUCUGUUAUUAGGGAAGAACAAAUGUGUAAGUAACGAUGCACGUCUUGACGGUACCUAAUCAGAAAGCCACGGCUAACUACGU
rnacentral:rRNA from 1 species